rnacentral:lncRNA from 1 species
UCUAACUUAAUCUUAGAGAUCCGUUGAUCUACAAGGCCAUGGACAAGACGACUGAUUUAUUUCUUUGUAUCUGGUAAUUCCACACAUUGCUUUUUUGAUUCUGAUGGAUAAUUAAUGUUAGAGAGUUACAAAACAAGAAAUAUUCUAAAAUAUCAUUGAUCUCGUAACUUUAUCUUUGCUUUCCAGUAUACGCUUUACUUAUUUCUUUUUAGGAUUUUCAUAUGCCUAAAGCAAUGACAUAUAUUUCUUGACAAAAAAAUUGGCAUAUAACUCAACUGAUCUUCAAAAAGAAUCAUACAUAUUCUACUGCAAAAAAAGGUAAAAUGCAUCAUCAUCUAUACAAAAUUUAUAGCAAGCAUUGUUCGUUAUAAACAUUGUAACUGUUACCGCUUCACAUAGUUAAUUUGCAAUGUGUAAGUAGCCAUGAUUACAAAAUAGCCUCACUCUUUUUACUCUAAUUUGCUUCACGAACCGAUCCAAAGAAACAAAUAAUCUUUUUUGCAGACUGAUUUAGCAGUUCCUGGAGGCAAAUAGAUUGAUCUCUCCUAUCCCCUUGUCAAGCAAAAACCUGAGGAGUAGGCGGAAAUUCUGAGAAUACAUUUCCACUGGAAGUAGAGCUAAAAACAAGUGAUUUUUUUUGUGCCACAAGAUCUUACCGGAACC